rnacentral:lncRNA from 1 species
CAGCUUGCGCAGGAGCUCCUCCUCCGUGGUGCCUGACGACAAGGAGUACGAAUGGUCGGAGCCAGUAUCAGGGAAGCCCUCUUCCCCUACCACCACCAACUGGGGGCCCAUAGGGCACUCGGCAGCCUCCAGCCCUGCGGUAGCAGCCUGUAACUCCGACGCGGCGGCCGCAGCGGCUGCGCCCUCUGCGGCUGCAAACUCCACUUGCACUGUGAGAUCGAUGGGCUUCACGUCUUCUCCAGUGGGAGUGAUGGGCGCCGGCUGUACGGAUCCCGGAGCCUGACUGCUGUCUACAGUGGCCUGAAGGGUGAGAAGCACGGCCGCGGAAGCAGAUACCAGUGCAGAUUCUGGGAAAGUGAACUCCACGGAAGACUCAGAAACCAAGUUCUAAUUCAGUUGCCAUGAAAACUUAAGGUGAGAGGAUUGUCAACCAGUGAAAAAUACGGAGGAAAACACUAACAGAAUAUGAUGAAGAAGCCAAGACUUGGGCUGCUUGCAUUACAUUAACCGAGGUUUACCCGCAGCGAGGCUGCCU